AGAGGAAGUAAAAGUCGUAACAAGGUUUCCGUAGGUGAACCUGCGGAAGGAUCAUUACCUAGAGUUGUAGGCUUUGCCUGCUAUCUCUUACCCAUGUCUUUUGAGUACCUUACGUUUCCUCGGCGGGUCCGCCCGCCGAUUGGACACUUUAAACCAUUUGCAGUUGCAAUCAGCGUCUGAAAAAACUUAAUAGUUACAACUUUCAACAACGGAUCUCUUGGUUCUGGCAUCGAUGAAGAACGCAGCGAAAUGCGAUAAGUAGUGUGAAUUGCAGAAUUCAGUGAAUCAUCGAAUCUUUGAACGCACAUUGCGCCCCUUGGUAUUCCAUGGGGCAUGCCUGUUCGAGCGUCAUUUGUACCUUCAAGCUUUGCUUGGUGUUGGGUGUUUGUCUCGCCUCUGCGUGUAGACUCGCCUCAAAACAAUUGGCAGCCGGCGUAUUGAUUUCGGAGCGCAGUACAUCUCGCGCUUUGCACUCAUAACGACGACGUCCAAAAGUACAUUUUUACACUCUUGACCUCGGAUCAGGUAGGGAUACCCGCUGAACUUAAGCAUAUCAAUAA
rnacentral:rRNA from 1 species